UAAGGGCGCACGGUGGAUGCCUUGGCACUAGAAGCCGAUGAAGGACGUUACUAACGACGAUAUGCUUUGGGGAGCUGUAAGUAAGCUUUGAUCCAGAGAUUUCCGAAUGGGGAAACCCAGCAUGAGUUAUGUCAUGUUAUCGAUAUGUGAAUACAUAGCAUAUCAGAAGGCACACCCGGAGAACUGAAACAUCUUAGUACCCGGAGGAAGAGAAAGAAAAUUCGAUUCCCUUAGUAGCGGCGAGCGAAACGGGAAGAGCCCAAACCAACAAGCUUGCUUGUUGGGGUUGUAGGACACUCUAUACGGAGUUACAAAGGACGACAUUAGACGAAUCAUCUGGA
rnacentral:rRNA from 1 species